CCUACGGGAGGCAGCAGUGGGGGAUAUUGCACAAUGGGGGAAACCCUGAUGCAGCGACGCCGCGUGUGGGAAGACGGUCCUCCGGAUUGUAAACCACUGUCCCCAGGGACGAAGAUGACGGUACCUGGGGAGGAAGCUCCGGCUAACUACGUGCCAGCAGCCGCGGUAAUACGUAGGGAGCGAGCGUUGUCCGGAAUUACUGGGUGUAAAGGGAGCGUAGGCGGGACUGCAAGUUGGGUGUCAAAUCUACCGGCUCAACCGGUAGCCGCACUCAAAACUGCAGUUCUUGAGUGAAGUAGAGGCAGGCGGAAUUCCUAGUGUAGCGGUGAAAUGCGUAGAUAUUAGGAGGAACACCAGUGGCGAAGGCGGCCUGCUGGGCUUUUACUGACGCUGAGGCUCGAAAGUGUGGGGAGCAAACAGGAUUAGAUACCCUUGUAGUC
rnacentral:rRNA from 1 species